UCGAGCUUGGAAGGAAGGCUGUGUAUUAUGGCCUGUAAAAGAAGUUAUAUAUAUCUUACAUGCCCAUGCAUGGCGACGCCCGAUCUGCCUGACAAGUGGCUGGUGCGAGGUUCGAUGGCGGACGCGCGCACUGGUACGCGGGGGACCGGAGUGCCGCCCGCCCGCCUCGCGGAGCCCCCCUUGUGCCUCCAGGGCCCCUCGAUGCUGCAGGCAAGUGCUUUCAAUACUGUAGACAACUGGCUGCGUGUGAUUGCAAAUGAUCUUGCAGGAACGCCACGGACGCGUUGGUCCAUACUAGGAGGAUGGAAUCCCCACAAGCGCGUGCCAUGUAACUCAUGUUCGUGAUACCAGAUCGGGAUUCUACGAAUUCGUAGCAGGUCAAUUUAUGGGGAUCGCGUUUUGGCUGCUGUUUUGGCCAAGGCGUUAGCUACUGGGGCCACAUGGAUAAACCCAUGCUUUAUGUAUGCUCAUGCUUACGUACGCUCAUGCCGGCUCAUGCACAGCAGUUUUUGGCUGCACACUAAGCCAGUGGUAGCAAACUACUGGGCUUAUGGGCUUUGGUUGUCAUUUAGUCACGUAAGAGUAAAAUGAACUGUAGUGCUACAUUACCGUGUUGUCACUCAAGGCCGGGUGCGACAGCUGGCCCCGGCAGCAACAUUCCGAGAACAUCUCGCGCGCGGCAGUGCAGCAGCUUGCUGGUACCAGAUUCUGGGCAGCUGUCAAUACAUACACAUUAAGACGCACAAAGCAAUGUUGCGUACUGUGUGCAGCUUGGCGCAAAAUCCGGGGGCGGGGGAGGGGCUGCUGGGGACAACUGCGGAGACCCCAGUCACGAACUUACUUGCCAGUCGGCUCUUUGCCCCGGGAUACAUUCCAACGCAAUAUUAUGUAUCUCAAUAGCAACUUAGGUUGAUGCUCGAUCGAGCGCACUUUGGCCCAACCGUGCCCGUACAUACCUAUCGGGCUGGCGGUGCAAGCGAGCAGUCACAAAACGCAUACUGGGAUGACAGGACCGCUUACAUCACCCCCUUAGAAGGGUGCGUCCUCGAACCCAUUUUUGCUGGCGCCGGUCAGCUGGUUAAGCACUCAGCGUGCAAGGACUGGGAGCAUGGGUGGAAGCAGGGGGCACCGUUAAGUAAAACGUCGUGGACCCUCCCUACCCACCCCCACGACGCCCUGAACAAGAACGUACGGCAGUGGUUGACCUGACCGUUUGCGGACCGUGAUGUGCUGCCAGAUAUCCUAUGGCUCCUCUAGGGCAGUAUGGAUGCUCUCAAGCCCCUGUCGACCUCUCAAGCACUAGAGCAGCACAGCUUACCAUGCAUGGCGAGUCUGUCAGCGCUCGUAUCUUACGAAGGCUGGGGCGGCGUCAGUGGCCGAAUUCCUUAAAAUGGCUUCGUUUGGUUGACGAAACAGGCUGCCGCCGCUUCGUUCACCCCCAAAGUUUUUCCGGGGGCUCCGCGCCCGACCCGCACGGUUCGUGUGCGGUGGUGUCGGCGAUCUCGGCGGACGCCAAUCAGUGCUCGUAUCUUAAGAAGGCAGGUGCGGCGCCAGUGACAGAUUUCCGAAAUAGGGCAUCUUUAAUUUUCAGAAACCCGCUGCCGCCGCAUAUUUCAUCCCAAAAUUUUCCGGGGGCUCCGCCCCGACUUAUGCACGGUUCGUGUCAAGCCAGGGGUGUGGCAGGCCUUUCAGCAAUCUCUCAAUCUCCCAUUCGUGCCGUGCAUCCAUCUCAAAACAGAAACUCCACACAAACUACAGCGUGCGCGGUAAGGUUGCUGUUGCCCCCAGCCCACGUUCCGGCUCCGGCACAGCAAAAUAUUCCGCCGCACGGGAUGUGCCCCUUUUACAGCAUGCGGGGUGAGGUUGCUGCUGCCCCCAGCCCACGUUUCGGCUCCGGCUGUCCGGCACAGCAAAAUAUUCCGCCGCACGGGAUGUGCCCCUGUUACAGCGUGCGGGGUGGUUGCUGAAAAAGCACCGGCUCUAUGGCUCCAUGGCAAAAUGUGGCCCAUCCCCACGCCAAACCCCAGUGCCCUCUCCCACGCUCAUCACGCUCACCCACCCACGUCCCUAGGCACUUGCUUUGCCCUUUUCAUGUCCCAUAUACCCACGUCCCUAUCUUGGUUUGCCCCCACGGCACCAGCAGGACACGGCCGUAGAUAGCGUUUCCUGGGGAACCUCAGUCAGUCAGUCACCCUUGCCUUGGGCCCGGACAAGUGACAGAAACCCCCUAAAAUGUCUUCUGCGAAUCUCAGAAAGACCCCUCCAAACCUGAAGCGUUUCCACAGGUUUUUGGCCACAAGAAUAAACAAGGGGUGUCAGCUUUGUACAGCUGGAAAAUGGGCUGAGCCCCUAGAGCAAGGGAUGUGACGAUGGGUACCGGCGACAUAAACAGCACCCUUGCAAGCCCAGACUGGCAAAGGGGCAUACCAAAGGCACCGCCACGCCCUGUCCACGCCACUCCACACAUGAGCCCGUGAUACCUCAUUCCAAAUCCCUCACAAGCACCACAAACGGCUAGUGGGGCUCGGGCGCGUGAUCCGGGGUCGCGACAUAAUUAAGGCGGGAUUGGCACGCAUGGUUCGGCUGUUGCACAAACUUUCGACAUUCUUGCCCCAAGACGCUUGUCGUCGACAUGUUUUGAUACAUGGGUGUAAGAUAUUCAGGACCCGAGAGCUAUACUCGCGGACUGAAGAAAGUCAAGAUGUCCAUGGACUUGCGAGGUCGCUUCUCGCUCCGGCCGAGUUUUCCCUGCCGCCUAUUUUUCUACAAUAGGGAAUAGCAAUUAAUAAUACGUGGCGCUCGCGGUUUGUGCCAGUAUGGUACUUUUUGUCGACGCAGGCAGGCAGGCAGGCAGGCACGGACAGGGGCAAUCCUGGGGGGCUUCGCCCCCCCUGGAUCGCUUCGCUCAGGGGGCUCAGCCCAAAAAUUUCUUUCGCCGGAGGCAUUUUUGGGCAAAUUUCUGUCGAAAAGAAGGAAGAUACGAGCACUGACGCCAAUAAUUGCGCGGGAAUGUAACAGUGAACCCAAUGCCCCAGAACAUUCUCAGAUGUCGACACCGACACGACACGCACACUCCUCCCCUGCUUCCCGCGGACCCAACCUCACUCUCCCGCCGUCAGCACCCAUAGAUACAGCCCUCUGAGUCUUCUUACCAUAUGCCACGCAGGUUUCGGCCGUGGGGUAGCCGCUGGAUCCCCCUUGCCCUUCGGCCAAAAGUGGCCGAAAUCCCAAAAAUGUCUUCGUCUGUUUGCCGAAAGACCCCCCAAGAUCCCGUGCGUUUUGGCCGAAAUUUCAAGUCAAGAUCACAAAAAUUUCUUCCGCCAGAGGCCUUUUUGGGCAAAUUUCGUUCCGAACGAAGGAAGAUACGAGCGCUGGAGGCUGUAUGGCAGCCGUUGCGGCGCUGCGAUAAUCGGCCGCGGGCCUAUAGACAGCUCGAGAUUCCGGAAACCUGUUACAUCUCGUACCGUGGGACGCAGUAGAGGUGGGACCCCUGUCACAGCCCUGGUGGUGCACCACAGCCACUGGCGCCACUCGUUCUAUCGUAGAAUGUCUUGCUGCGCCUGCAUAAAUCCGCCCCUCAGCGUCUCAUAUUCCCCGCCGAAAUUCCCGUAGCCGUAAUGCACUAAUACUCCGCACAUGCACGUGCGCGCACACAUACACACACACACAUAUGCCGUUCACGAACAGAGGGGUAGCUACAGCCCAGCACCAGUUGCAGGGCGCAACACAUUUCAUACAACAGUGGCUUCACAUGCAACAAUCACACGAAUGUUCACAGCAUGCGGCUGUAACAAUCCAGUUCCAGGCGAUAAGCUCGCAGCUCUUUCUCUAAUUGAUCUGCAGCUCGAAUCACGUGUCAUCACAAAUUGCAUUCACAAACACCGCUCAGCCUUUCCAUCCUCUCCCUCGAGGGGGGGAGCCUCCAAGGUGCGCUUGCCAUGCCGCCGAGACCCCUGGCAGAUCACUCUCCUGCGCCUGACACAGCCGAACACGAAAUCUAGGCAUGUCCACAAUCCCUGGUGGAUCCUCCGUACUAGCAGUAUUCCGCGCUUUAAAAGUCCUGACAAGCUUGCUUAUGUUAACGUACGUAAGCAGGGGCUCCGGUGCACGAAGGUCCGCCAGUGUGACAGACCGCACCGCAGCCUAAGCGACGGAAGCAUUCUUAAUAUGUCGAGGCAUGUGGCAUGCGAGUUAGGCCCACACAUGCAAUUGAAUUUUGGUAUGCUCUAGAUACGGUUACUGGCUCGGGCACUGACCCGCCAACGCAGGGCGAUUGCCCCUUCGACUCUCCCGGUCAUCCCUAACCAACCUCAGUGCUGACACGAUCUGGUGCCCAGGACAGAGAACGACUGAAAUAGCCCGCCAACAACAACCUUGGCCAACCCCCACAUGGCGGGCGCAAUGCGGGAGUCAGGCUGCAGCACCACACAGCCGUGGGGAGCCGUUGACCUGCCUCCGAUCCCGCACAGCUCGUGCAACCGCCAAGUGCUUUACUGCUGAGUUGCUAGGUGCCCACGGCGUAAUGUUGACUGACCAUUUACUUGGGCAGCUGCUUGCGGGGAGGGGUGCGGCGGGGCGGGGGCGACGCGCGGCGGGUGGCGGGUGGCGGAGAGUUGGGGGGCGAGGGAGGGCUGGGCGGCGGCGGGGCGGGGGUACGGCAGAACGUGCCCUGGGUGAAGAAGUCGGCGGGGGGCGGGGGGUUGUAGACCAGGUCGCAGCAGAUCGGCACGCCUGCAGCCAUACACACACGCACACGCAGGGAGAUGAGGUGUCAGUGCUUGCCAACAGCAAUUGUGCUCAUCAAAGACGCCCGGGUGUUUCCAUAUCCAACAAACAUGCAUGCAAUGGGCGGCGGAAUAGGCGGAACGAAUAAGUGUCACCCACGUGCGGGAGCAGCUUAGAAUUGCACUCAAAACUUGCGCCGAUGCGCGGCUACAACACUCGCCCACCCCUGUCCACCAAUCAAGGCGCCACUCACUGUCCUCGGGCGAUGGGUACAGAACCAGGGAGCGAAGGGCGUCGGCGGCGGGCGGCACGCGGCUGAUAAACACGUUGGGAGCCGCACCGAACAGGUUGCCGUCCUGAAAGUAGGUACGCGCGUGCGUGAGUCGAGCGGUGCGGCAUACCAUGGGCAGUCGAGGUUACGGAGCGAAUUUAUUUUGUUUGAGAACGCGGUAUCAAAGGAGAAGGAAGGGGAAGGGUACAGCAACACACCGGCACACAACCUGCAACGCGAGCAAGCAGGAUGUCAGAGACAGCCGCAUCAACCACCAUGAAUGUCAGAGUGCGCAGCGUGCAGCGUGUCAAGACGCACUGACGUGGUGGCCACUGUGUUUCCAGCGUGCCUAGCCCGGUGCCUCUGCACAACGAACCCAAAGGUUGCUGUGUGCUGCAAGACCCGAUUCCGCUCCUCUCGCGCGGCCCCACGAACUCCUCUUCAUCACGCUCCUCCUCCCACUUAACAAGUCCUUCCUCCGUCCCCCCUCAGCCUCACCUCGGUGGUGUUGGAGUUCUCUUUUUUGAACCACACCAUGUUAAAGCGGUCGUCGCCGCGGCUGGCGUUGUGGCGGUACAGGUCGUUGGGGUUGGAGCAGUUCCCGAUAAAGCCUGUGUGUGUGUGUGUGUGUGUGUGUGUGUGUGUGUGUGUGUGUGUGUGUGUGUGUGUGUGUGUGUGUGUGUGUGUGUGUGUGUGUGUGUGUGUGUGUGUGUGUGCAGGGGGGCAGGGCGUGGGCAGGCGGCAAGAGCAGGGCUUCGCAAGGGAUAGCGAAGCGGCAAGCGAGCUUGUGUGGGACGGCGGCGGUGAUGUCCCCCUAUGUACUGCGUAGUCAUGACUGCCCCCCGCCCAUAGCUUCCCCUUUGCCCAUAGCUUCCCCAUCGCGCCAGAUCAGCCUUCGCGUAUGGCGUCUGAGCGGGCUCAUGCCGGCAGCUGCUGACAGCCCGGUCCCCUCCCCAGGCCGAUUCCCAUCAGCCCCACGCCACGUGUCCACCCGCUCACUACGCUCACCGUAGCCGUUAACCUGGCGUCCCGCGUACGGCUGGCCGUUGAGUGUGAUGUUCACGUCCAUGUCAAUGCUGGUGGUGGCGCGGUCCGUGCAGUUGCCUGCAGGAGUUGUGGGUGGUGGGUGGUGGGUGCUGGGUAGGGAGACAAAGGAAACAGGCGGGAGAGAGGGUCACGUGCGGCGGGCCAGCGCGGGGCCAGAGGCUGAGUACCGUAAUGCAAAACUCCGCGCGCCCUGCGCCGCCUGGUCUGCGCCCUGGGAUGCCGGCGUCCCCCACAAUCCAGAGGUCCUACCGUCAAGAUAAUAGAAGAUAGAAGCGCUGCCGGAGACAACCUGGAUAGACGAGGCCGGCGACGGAAACGCGGGCAGGGGGCCGAGGUUCGCCGAGACUGGCACCGGCGCGAAACUUGAGCAGCUAGCAACCUGGUGCCGAAUGAACUCUCGGCCUGCAACCAUGUGAUGUAGCGCCUAAAGUUAGACUCCAUCAAGCUCUGGAUCAUUACCCAGCCUCGGUUUGGGUGACCGCGAGUGCGACCGGCGUGCAUGGCAUACCUGGCGACGGCUCCGGCAAGAAAGUCCAGUCGUGAAGACCACCGCUGCACCAUCGAAUAGUCGGCAAUCAGUGGAAUGGUUCGCGGCGCUGUCAGUGACGGCGCCUUACUUGGUUUACCCAAAGAGUCAGAAGUCGCGCCGGCAUCCGAUCCAAGCCUCUUACCCGUGGCCCAUAACGCUGGAUACUAGCGCAAAUGCGCUGAGCGCGACGAAGGCGAGGUACCAGGCCAUUUUCAUCGUGCAGAAGCGCGAUGGCAAGUAUAUCACGGCUACACUCGAGCUUGGAAGGAAGGCUGUAUAUUAUGGCCUGUAAAAGAAGUUAUAUACAUCUUACUUGCCCAUGCAUGGCGACGCCCGAUCUGCCUGACAAGUGGUGCGAGGUUCGAUGGCGGACGCGCGCACUGGUACGCGGGGGACCGGAGCGUACCGGAGUGCCGCCUGCCCGCCUCGCGGAGCCCCCCUUGUGCCUCCAGGGCCCCUCGAUGCUGCAGGCAAGUGCUUUCAAUACUGUAGACAACUGGCUGCGUGUGAUUGCAAAUGAUCUUGCAGGAACGCCACGGACGCGUUGGUCCAUACUAGGAGGAUGGAAUCC
rnacentral:lncRNA from 1 species